GGAGGGUGCAAGCGUUAAUCGGAAUUACUGGGCGUAAAGCGCGCGUAGGCGGCUUUGUAAGUCGGAUGUGAAAGCCCUGGGCUUAACCUGGGAAUUGCAUUCGAUACUGCAUAACUAGAGUAUGGUAGAGGGAAGUGGAAUUUCCGGUGUAGCGGUGAAAUGCGUAGAUAUCGGAAGGAACACCAGUGGCGAAGGCGACUUCCUGGGCCAAUACUGACGCUGAGGUGCGAAAGCGUGGGGAGCAAACAGGGAUUAGAUACCCUGGUAGUCCACGCCGUAAACGAUGAGAACUAGAUGUCGGGAGGAUCUGCCUUUCGGUGUCGCAGCUAACGCGUUAAGUUCUCCGCCUGGGGAGUACGCCGGCAACGGUA
rnacentral:rRNA from 1 species